rnacentral:rRNA from 1 species
UACGUAGGGGGCAAGCGUUAUCCGGAUUUACUGGGUGUAAAGGGAGCGUAGACGGCAAGGCAAGCCAGAAGUGAAAGGGCAGGGCUCAACCCUGUACAUGCUUUUGGAACUGUGGUGCUAGAGUGCAGGAGAGGUAAGUGGAAUUCCUAGUGUAGCGGUGAAAUGCGUAGAUAUCAGGAGGAACACCGGUGGCGAAGGCGGCCUGCUGGACUGCAACUGACGCUCAGGCACGAAAGCGUGGGUAUCGAACAGG